CGAGCUUACGUCAAACGCAACGAUGUUAGCGUUACGCAAUCCUUAACUCGUGACAGAAGUUUACAACCCGAGGGCCUUCAUCCUUCACGCGGCGUCGCUCCGUCAGACUUUCGCCAUUGCGGAAGAUUCUCGA
rnacentral:rRNA from 1 species